GUGCUCACUUUAGCAGCACAUAUACUAAAACUGGAAUGAUACAGAGAAGAUUAGCCUGGCCCCUGCACAAGGAUGACAUACAAAUUCGUGAAGCAUUCCAUUAAAAA
rnacentral:snRNA from 1 species